rnacentral:rRNA from 1 species
UACGUAGGGUCCGAGCGUUGUCCGGAAUUAUUGGGCGUAAAGAGCUCGUAGGCGGUCUGUUGCGUCGGUUGUGAAAACCUGGGGCUCAACUCCAGGCCUGCAAUCGAUACGGGCAGACUAGAGUUCGGUAGGGGAGACUGGAAUUCCUGGUGUAGCGGUGAAAUGCGCAGAUAUCAAGAGGAACACCAGUGGCGAAGGCGACACGCUGGGCCGUACCUGACGCUAAAGCGCGACAGCAUGGGGAGCAAACGGG